CCCCUCUCAGGAUCACACCUGGAGAGUUUCCAGUACUCUAUCAGUCUCGGCUUCAAGAAGGAGAGUCAAGCAGAGGCAUACCCAUUCCAUUCCUAGCUUGGGCAGUGGCUAGCAAGUGGAAGGCAAUCUCCUACAAGU